CGAACACUAAUACUUGCCUGUUGGCUUUUCUCACUGGACCAUAACCUGCUCCUUGAGUUGUUCUGUGCAGCAUGUUAAUGUUUUUCUGAGGAGGGACAGGAAUGUGACCACCACUUCUUUACAACUUGCAGGGAAGUCCUAUCCUGGACAGAAAGUGAUCUCUUUCUCUCCUCAGCAGCUGGAGGACUUUGUACACUAUCUGAGAAGAGGCACUGCUCACACUGAAAAAUACUUGUGGAAACUCAGGAAGAGCCACCUUCUCACCAGAUUUGGAUGACUAUGCAAACACAGGUGUGCAUCUUAUUUGGAAGCAUAUUCCUCCUGUGCUUCUAAACACUGGUAUCUAACUAUUGAUUUCCAAACACUUGUACCCCUCAAAACUGAUCUCUUUUUGAAAGAGAACAAACACCUCUAACACCUAUUUGCCAACGGGACUUGAUUUCCAAUAGUUAAACUGUCCUUUUCCCAGCUGUCUUCCAAUUCCAUGGAGCAAAUCUUUGUUAAAGAUCAUUCUUGUAAAAGAUAUUCACGUUUUUUAAAAGGUUCUCAAUACAUCUGUGAGAAGUGUAUGAGCAGUUUGACUAUAUUAUUGCUCUCAAAUUCUGUGUUCCUAUCAUGUCACAGAGGCAUUUGACAUAUACUGGUUUGAUGGGCUUCCAUGUUUCUAUACUCUUCCUUUAGCUACCAUCUGAGCACCCCUAUUAAGCAACAGUGCAUUCAGGUGUAUCCUAAUGGCUGGAAGCUUAAAUCUUGCACUUACCUUACUCUAUACAUUUUCUAUUUCAAGCCAUAGGUGACCAUUAAAAAUUAUUUUGAAGUGAGCUUACUUUAGCUCCCUGGGGUUGUUUGUUUUUUUUUUUCUUUUUUACCAUUUUUUUCCUUCCUCCCUCUGCUCACCCUGCAAAUAAAACCCAGGAGUUUAAUGGUGGAAAAACAAGCAUAGAGGGUGUAUAUUCUGUGCAUUAGACAGUACCAUUGUAAUCCAUCCCAAGAAAGAGCUACCUAUGCUGCAUUUCUACCCCACUCUGCUCACUUUCCUCUGCCAGAGUUGUGCUUCUUGCUGUGUCCUGGCUUGGGCCAAAGUUGUAGCCUUUCCAUUCACCUUUUUGCAACUUCUAUUCUUGAGUAAAUAACUUUCACAGUUUCAUGGAUGACUCUAUAUCAACCCUGAAUACUCGCUGUCAUGAAGGGAAGACACCAGAUCAGGGAGAAGGGUUAAUAAGUUAAGUUAAUAGUAAGUUAAUACUAAAAGUGAAAAUGUGCUUGUUUCUUG